rnacentral:rRNA from 1 species
AAAGUAUUAUUUAAAUUAUUUGGUAAGAAGUUAUUAAUAAAAAUAAUUUUAGUGGAUAUGUUUUAGUAUAGUUUAUAGAAUAGAUUAGGUAUAUAAUAGGGAAGUAGUACUGUGAAGGAAAUAUGAAAUAGGUGAAAUAGUUAUUAAGAUGAAAGAAGAAUAGAGUUUGUACCUUGUGUAUCAGGGUUUAUUAAAUAAUAGUAAUGAUUUAUGAUUCUCGAAUUGAAAAGAGUUAAGAUGAUAUAAUAGUUAAUGUGUUAUUAUUAUUAUUGAUAUUAUUUUAGGGAUGAAAUGUUAAACGUUUUUUAAGUUAUCUAGUUUUUCAAGAAAUGAAUUUAAUUCAUGUUAUGGGAGUAAUUAUUUAAUUAAUGUAAUAGAUUAUUUUUUAUAACAAAUAUAUGAAGGGAUAAGCUUUUGUGUAAGAAUUAUAAACUGUGAGUUUUUGCAAGGAGUUGUAGGCUUUAAAUUAGCUAUCAAUAAAAUAAUGUUAUAAAUUGUUUUGUGAAAAAGUUAUUUUUAAUAGUUUUAAUUUGUAUAUUGGAAUAUUAUAUUAAAUAAGUUAAUAUGAGUAAUGAUGGUAAAAUGAGUAUAUAAAAUUGUUUACUAUAAUAUUUUUAGGAAUUUAUAAUAAGGAACUAGGCAAAAUUAUCACUCCCCUGUUUAUCAAAAACAUCUUCUUUUGUGUUUAUUUAAGGUAGGGCCUGCCCACUGAAAUUAUUUGAAGGGCCGCGGUAUUAUGACCGUGCAAAGGUAGCAUAAUCAUUAGUCUUUUAAUUGAAGGCUGGAAUGAAUGGUUUGACGAGGUGAUGACUGKCUCMUUAUAAAAAAAUAGAAGUUAACUUUUAAGUUAAAAGGCUUAAAUUUUAGUGGAGGACGAGAAGACCCUAUAGAGCUUCAUAUAUAGAUUUAGAUUUGCAUUUAGUGGUUUAUAAAAUUUUAGAUUUAUUAUAUUGUGUUGGGGUGACAUAAAGAUAGAAUUAACUCUUUAUUUUUAGGACAUUGAUGUAUGGAUUAUUGAUCCAUUUUUAAUGAUCAUAAGAUUAAGUUACCUUAGGGAUAACAGCGUGAUUUUUCUUGAGAGUUCAUAUCAACAGAGAAGAUUGCGACCUCGAUGUUGGAUUAAGGAAUAUAAUUAGAUGCAGCAGUUUAAUUAAUAGGUCUGUUCGACCUUUAAAUCCUUACAUGAUCUGAGUUCAGACCGGUGUGAGCCAGGUCGGUUUCUAUCCUCAUUAUUAUUUUAUACUUUAGUACGAAAGGACCAAGUAUUUUUAAAUAUUUUAUUAAGUUUGAUUGUUACUA